UUAAGCGACUAAGCGUACACGGUGGAUGCCCUGGCAGUCAGAGGCGAUGAAGGACGUGCUAAUCUGCGAUAAGCGUCGGUAAGGUGAUAUGAACCGUUAUAACCGGCGAUUUCCGAAUGGGGAAACCCAGUGUGAUUCGUCACACUAUCAUUAACUGAAUCCAUAGGUUAAUGAGGCGAACCGGGGGAACUGAAACAUCUAAGUACCCCGAGGAAAAGAAAUCAACCGAGAUUCCCCCAGUAGCGGCGAGCGAACGGGGAGCAGCCCAGAGCCUGAAUCAGUGUGUGUGUUAGUGGAAGCGUCUGGAAAGGCGCGCGAUACAGGGUGACAGCCCCGUACACAAAAAUGCACAUACUGUGAGCUCGAUGAGUAGGGCGGGACACGUGGUAUCCUGUCUGAAUAUGGGGGGACCAUCCUCCAAGGCUAAAUACUCCUGACUGACCGAUAGUGAACCAGUACCGUGAGGGAAAGGCGAAAAGAACCCCGGCGAGGGGAGUGAAAAAGAACCUGAAACCGUGUACGUACAAGCAGUGGGAGCCUCUUUAUGGGGUGACUGCGUACCUUUUGUAUAAUGGGUCAGCGACUUAUAUUCUGUAGCAAGGUUAACCGAAUAGGGGAGCCGAAGGGAAACCGAGUCUUAACUGGGCGUUAAGUUGCAGGGUAUAGACCCGAAACCCGGUGAUCUAGCCAUGGGCAGGUUGAAGGUUGGGUAACACUAACUGGAGGACCGAACCGACUAAUGUUGAAAAAUUAGCGGAUGACUUGUGGCUGGGGGUGAAAGGCCAAUCAAACCGGGAGAUAGCUGGUUCUCCCCGAAAGCUAUUUAGGUAGCGCCUCGUGAAUUCAUCUCCGGGGGUAGAGCACUGUUUCGGCAAGGGGGUCAUCCCGACUUACCAACCCGAUGCAAACUGCGAAUACCGGAGAAUGUUAUCACGGGAGACACACGGCGGGUGCUAACGUCCGUCGUGAAGAGGGAAACAACCCAGACCGCCAGCUAAGGUCCCAAAGUCAUGGUUAAGUGGGAAACGAUGUGGGAAGGCCCAGACAGCCAGGAUGUUGGCUUAGAAGCAGCCAUCAUUUAAAGAAAGCGUAAUAGCUCACUGGUCGAGUCGGCCUGCGCGGAAGAUGUAACGGGGCUAAACCAUGCACCGAAGCUGCGGCAGCGACACUAUGUGUUGUUGGGUAGGGGAGCGUUCUGUAAGCCUGUGAAGGUGUGCUGUGAGGUAUGCUGGAGGUAUCAGAAGUGCGAAUGCUGACAUAAGUAACGAUAAAGCGGGUGAAAAGCCCGCUCGCCGGAAGACCAAGGGUUCCUGUCCAACGUUAAUCGGGGCAGGGUGAGUCGACCCCUAAGGCGAGGCCGAAAGGCGUAGUCGAUGGGAAACAGGUUAAUAUUCCUGUACUUGGUGUUACUGCGAAGGGGGGACGGAGAAGGCUAUGUUGGCCGGGCGACGGUUGUCCCGGUUUAAGCGUGUAGGCUGGUUUUCCAGGCAAAUCCGGAAAAUCAAGGCUGAGGCGUGAUGACGAGGCACUACGGUGCUGAAGCAACAAAUGCCCUGCUUCCAGGAAAAGCCUCUAAGCAUCAGGUAACAUCAAAUCGUACCCCAAACCGACACAGGUGGUCAGGUAGAGAAUACCAAGGCGCUUGAGAGAACUCGGGUGAAGGAACUAGGCAAAAUGGUGCCGUAACUUCGGGAGAAGGCACGCUGAUAUGUAGGUGAAGUCCCUUGCGGAUGGAGCUGAAAUCAGUCGAAGAUACCAGCUGGCUGCAACUGUUUAUUAAAAACACAGCACUGUGCAAACACGAAAGUGGACGUAUACGGUGUGACGCCUGCCCGGUGCCGGAAGGUUAAUUGAUGGGGUUAGCGGUAACGCGAAGCUCUUGAUCGAAGCCCCGGUAAACGGCGGCCGUAACUAUAACGGUCCUAAGGUAGCGAAAUUCCUUGUCGGGUAAGUUCCGACCUGCACGAAUGGCGUAAUGAUGGCCAGGCUGUCUCCACCCGAGACUCAGUGAAAUUGAACUCGCUGUGAAGAUGCAGUGUACCCGCGGCAAGACGGAAAGACCCCGUGAACCUUUACUAUAGCUUGACACUGAACAUUGAGCCUUGAUGUGUAGGAUAGGUGGGAGGCUUUGAAGUGUGGACGCCAGUCUGCAUGGAGCCGACCUUGAAAUACCACCCUUUAAUGUUUGAUGUUCUAACGUUGGCCCCUAAUCGGGGUUGCGGACAGUGUCUGGUGGGUAGUUUGACUGGGGCGGUCUCCUCCUAAAGAGUAACGGAGGAGCACGAAGGUUGGCUAAUCCUGGUCGGACAUCAGGAGGUUAGUGCAAUGGCAUAAGCCAGCUUAACUGCGAGCGUGACGGCGCGAGCAGGUGCGAAAGCAGGUCAUAGUGAUCCGGUGGUUCUGAAUGGAAGGGCCAUCGCUCAACGGAUAAAAGGUACUCCGGGGAUAACAGGCUGAUACCGCCCAAGAGUUCAUAUCGACGGCGGUGUUUGGCACCUCGAUGUCGGCUCAUCACAUCCUGGGGCUGAAGUAGGUCCCAAGGGUAUGGCUGUUCGCCAUUUAAAGUGGUACGCGAGCUGGGUUUAGAACGUCGUGAGACAGUUCGGUCCCUAUCUGCCGUGGGCGCUGGAGAACUGAGGGGGGCUGCUCCUAGUACGAGAGGACCGGAGUGGACGCAUCACUGGUGUUCGGGUUGUCAUGCCAAUGGCACUGCCCGGUAGCUAAAUGCGGAAGAGAUAAGUGCUGAAAGCAUCUAAGCACGAAACUUGCCCCGAGAUGAGUUCUCCCUGACCCUUUAAGGGUCCUGAAGGAACGUUGAAGACGACGACGUUGAUAGGCCGGGUGUGUAAGCGCAGCGAUGCGUUGAGCUAACCGGUACUAAUGAACCGUGAGGCUUAACCUU
rnacentral:rRNA from 1 species